rnacentral:rRNA from 1 species
GCCGUUAAAAAGCUCGUAGUCGAACUUCGGCGCCUGAUGGCCGGUCCCCCUUCUUGGUGUGUACUUGCUCAUCGGGCGCUUACCUCCUGGUGAACUCUGAUGUCCUUUACUGGGUGUCAGAGCAAACCAGGACGUUUACUUUGAAAAAAUUAGAGUGUUCAAAGCAGGCCUACGCCCGAAUACAUUAGCAUGGAAUAAUAGAAUAGGACGCGCGUUCCCAUUUUGUUGGUUUCUGAGAUCGCCGUAAUGAUUAAUAGGGAUAGUUGGGGGCAUUUGUAUUCCGUCGUCAGAGGUGAAAUUCUUGGAUUGCCGGAAGACAAACUACUGCGAAAGCAUUUGCCAAGGAUGUUUUCAUUGAUCAAGAACGAAGGAAGGGGGAUCGAAAACGAUCAGAUACCGUUGUAGUCUCUUCUGUAAACUAUGCCAAUUGGGGAUUAGCACAGGAUUUUCAAUGACUGUGUUAGCACCCGAAGAGAAAUCUUUAAAUGAGGUUCGGGGGGGAGUAUGGUCGCAAGGCUGAAACUUAAAGGAAUUGACGGAAGGGCACCACCAGGUGUGGAGCCUGCGGCUUAAUUUGACUCAACACGGGGAAACUCACCAGGUCCAGACACAAUAAGGAUUGACAGAUUGAUAGCUCUUUCUUGAUCUUGUGGUUGGUGGUGCAUGGCCGUUCUUAGUUGGUGGAGUGAUUUGUCUGGUUAAUUCCGAUAACGAACGAGACCUUAACCUGCUAAAUAGACCAGUC